GGGAAGAUGGCCGAGCGGUUAUGGCGCGUGACUCAAGUACUUUGUAUCUUCGUCCAGUUCAACUGGACCGUGUUCUCGUAGGGAAACCUGCGUGGGUUCGAAUCCCACUCUUCUCA